rnacentral:rRNA from 1 species
UACGUAGGGGGCUAGCGUUGUCCGGAAUCAUUGGGCGUAAAGCGCGUGUAGGCGGUUCGGUAAGUCCGCUGUGAAAGUCGGGGGCUCAACCCUCGGAUGCCGGUGGAUACUGUCGGACUAGAGUACGGAAGAGGCGAGUGGAAUUCCUGGUGGUAGCGGUGAAAUGCGCAGAUAUCAGGAGGAACACCGAUUGCGAAGGCAGCUCGCUGGGACGUUACUGACGCUGAGACGCGAAAGCGUGGGGAGCAAACAGG